CAAAAGGCAACACACUUGAGAGGAUGGGAAGCAGGAUGAAAAGACUCAGGAUCCUUACUGACUCACCGAACUUCUACCUCGCUCCAGAUUUCUUAAGAAAACAGUAACUAUCCUGAUGACUGAAUCAUUGCUGGUUUGAUUUUGCUCCUUACAGAUGGAAGCAUGCCGAACUCACACAUCCACAAAGGCACAAGAUGUGAAGUGAUUUUAACAUGAGCAUUAAAGUCUUCUGCAAGGGCUGGACCUGAGUCCACUCAACUUCUCUGUUUAAAGCCAAGCCAAGAUCUUAGAAGUAAUAUGCAAUAACUUAAAAUCGUCUCUAGGAUCCUGCUGGGAUUUUUCCCAUGAGCACUGGGCCACGAAGAAAUGAUAUUUAAGUAUUGGUUAUCCAGUAGCACAUGGUAAGC